rnacentral:rRNA from 1 species
GACGAACGCUGGCGGCGUGCUUAACACAUGCAAGUCGAACGGAAAGGCCCUGCUUUUGUGGGGUGCUCGAGUGGCGAACGGGUGAGUAACACGUGAGUAACCUGCCCUUUACUUUGGGAUAACUUCAGGAAACUGGGGCUAAUACCGGAUAGGAGCUCCUGCUGCAUGGUGGGGGUUGGAAAGUUUCGGCGGUUGGGGAUGGACUCGCGGCUUAUCAGCUUGUUGGUGGGGUAGUGGCUUACCAAGGCUUUGACGGGUAGCCGGCCUGAGAGGGUGACCGGGCACAUUGGGACUGAGAUACGGCCCAGAGUGCUACGGGAGGCAGCAGUGGAGAAUAUUGCACAAUGGGCGGAAGCCUGAUGCAGCAACGCCGGGUGCGGGAUGACGGCCUUCGGGUUGUAAACCGCUUUCGCCUGUGACGAAGCGUGAGUGACGGUAAUGGGUAAAGAAGCACCGGCUAACUACGUG